GGGAUAACUUCGGGAAACCGGAGCUAAUACCGGAUAAUAUAUUGAACCGCAUGGUUCAAUAGUGAAAGACGGUUUUGCUGUCACUUAUAGAUGGAUCCGCGCCGCAUUAGCUAGUUGGUAAGGUAACGGCUUACCAAGGCAACGAUGCGUAGCCGACCUGAGAGGGUGAUCGGCCACACUGGAACUGAGACACGGUCCAG
rnacentral:rRNA from 1 species